rnacentral:rRNA from 1 species
AGAGUUUGAUCCUGGCUCAGGAUGAACGCUAGCGACAGGCUUAACACAUGCAAGUCGAGGGGCAGCACAGGUAGCAAUACCGGGUGGCGACCGGCGCACGGGUGAGUAACGCGUAUGCAACUUACCUAUCAGAGGGGGAUAACCCGGCGAAAGUCGGACUAAUACCGCAUGAAGCAGGGGCCCCGCAUGGGGAUAUUUGCUAAAGAUUCAUCGCUGAUAGAUAGGCAUGCGUUCCAUUAGGCAGUUGGCGGGGUAACGGCCCACCAAACCGACGAUGGAUAGGGGUUCUGAGAGGAAGGUCCCCCACAUUGGUACUGAGACACGGACCAAACUCCUACGGGAGGCAGCAGUGAGGAAUAUUGGUCAAUGGGCGUAAGCCUGAACCAGCCAAGUCGCGUGAGGGAUGAAGGUUCUAUGGAUCGUAAACCUCUUUUAUAAGGGAAUAAAGUGCGGGACGUGUCCCGUUUUGUAUGUACCUUAUGAAUAAGGAUCGGCUAACUCCGUGCCAGCAGCCGCGGUAAUACGGAGGAUCCGAGCGUUAUCCGGAUUUAUUGGGUUUAAAGGGUGCGUAGGCGGCCUUUUAAGUCAGCGGUGAAAGUCUGUGGCUCAACCAUAGAAUUGCCGUUGAAACUGGGGGGCUUGAGUAUGUUUGAGGCAGGCGGAAUGCGUGGUGUAGCGGUGAAAUGCUUAGAUAUCACGCAGAACCCCGAUUGCGAAGGCAGCCUGCCAAGCCAUGACUGACGCUGAUGCACGAAAGCGUGGGGAUCAAACAGGAUUAGAUACCCUGGUAGUCCACGCAGUAAACGAUGAUCACUAGCUGUUUGCGAUACAGUGUAAGCGGCACAGCGAAAGCGUUAAGUGAUCCACCUGGGGAGUACGCCGGCAACGGUGAAACUCAAAGGAAUUGACGGGGGCCCGCACAAGCGGAGGAACAUGUGGUUUAAUUCGAUGAUACGCGAGGAACCUUACCCGGGUUUGAACGCAUUUCGACCGCUCUGGAAACAGAGCCUCUAGCAAUAGCGAUUUGCGAGGUGCUGCAUGGUUGUCGUCAGCUCGUGCCGUGAGGUGUCGGCUUAAGUGCCAUAACGAGCGCAACCCUUGCCACUAGUUACUAACAGGUGAUGCUGAGGACUCUGGUGGGACUGCCAGCGUAAGCUGCGAGGAAGGCGGGGAUGACGUCAAAUCAGCACGGCCCUUACAUCCGGGGCGACACACGUGUUACAAUGGCGUGGACAAAGGGAAGCCACCUGGCGACAGGGAGCGAAUCCCCAAACCACGUCUCAGUUCGGAUCGGAGUCUGCAACCCGACUCCGUGAAGCUGGAUUCGCUAGUAAUCGCGCAUCAGCCAUGGCGCGGUGAAUACGUUCCCGGGCCUUGUACACACCGCCCGUCAAGCCAUGGGAGCCGGGGGUACCUGAAGUCCGUAACCGCGAGGAUCGGCCUAGGGUAAGACUGGUGACUGGGGGUAAGUCGUAACAAGGUAGCCG